rnacentral:tRNA from 1 species
GUUUCUGUAGUGUAGUGGUCAUCACGUUCGCCUAACACGCAAAAUGUCCUCAGUUCAAAUCGAGCAGAAACA